AUAUGUAUAUACAUACAUAUACUACAAUAUUAUAUUUAUUGUUGCAUUUGUAGUUGUAGCUACUUAAAAGCAUAUUGGACAUUCGACUUAUUGCGUGCAAAUUAAGCAAAACAUUCAAGUUUGGCAUCGCUUCCAGCGCAUUGACGUCUCCCACAACCGAUCCUAGUUAUCUAUAUAUAAGUCGUGCACAAAACUAUUAUAUGUUGUUUUUUAAUUUUUUAACUAUGAUGCCUGCUCACAUAAUUCAAUUCCAUUGGAUAUCCAUCAAAGUCAAUUUAGUUUACAUUGAUAAAUACAAUUCGAAUUCAAAAAGGAUUCACAAAAUGGUCACGGUUUUGAGCUAGCAUUUAUGUAUUACAUUUUAUAGAACGGCUAAAAGUACAAUUAAAUCUUAAUGUUGCAGAAUCUCGAUUCAGACACAAUCGAUCUCUUGCCCCCUUAUCCCACAACACAUAAGAAAGUACAAUUGCUUACAUAUAUGUAUGCUUAUAUGGUAAAAUUGCAUGGAUACAAUAAAUUCAAAAACAAAAAUCAAAA